rnacentral:tRNA from 1 species
ACCUGGGUGGCUCAGUCGGUUGAGCGUCCGACUUCGGCUCAGGUCGUGAUCUCACGGCUCAUGGGUUCGAGCCCCAUGUCAGGCU